rnacentral:rRNA from 1 species
GCGUGAGUGAUGAAGGCCCUAGGGUUGUAAAGCUCUUUCGCCAGGGACGAUAAUGACGGUACCUGGAUAAGAAGCCCCGGCUAACUUCGUGCCAGCAGCCGCGGUAAUACGAAGGGGGCUAGCGUUGUUCGGAAUCACUGGGCGUAAAGCGCACGCAGGCGGGUGGCUAAGUCAGGGGUGAAAUCCCGAGGCUCAACCUCGGAACUGCCUUUGAUACUGGCCAUCUUGAGUCCGGGAGAGGUGAGUGGAACUCCGAGUGUAGAGGUGAAAUUCGU